UAACAAACAGUAUCAAGAGAAGUCUGGCUCAACAGAUAUACAUUGCUGGGAUAAAGCCUGACGCAGGAUGUCCCUACCCUCUCGCUAUCGCC